rnacentral:rRNA from 1 species
CCUACGGUGUGCAGCAGUGGGGAAUAUUGCACAAUGGGCGAAAGCCUGAUGCAGCAACGCCGCGUGAAGGAAGAAGGGUUUAGGCUCGUAAACUUCUAUCAACAGGGACGAAAGGACUGACGGUACCUGCAUAAGAAGCCCCGGCCAACUACGUGCCAGCAGCCGCGGUAAUACGUAGGGGGCAAGCGUUAUCAGGAAUUAAUGGGUGUAAAGGGUGAGUAGGCGGCAUGGUAAGCCAGAUGUGAAAGGCUUGGGCUUAACCCGAGGAUUGCAUUUGAAACUAUCAAGCUAGAGUACAGGAGAGGAAUGCGGAAUUCGUGGUGUAGCGGUGAAAUGCGUAGAUAUUAGGAAGAACACCGGUGGCGAAGGCAGCUUUCUGGACUGAAACUGACGCUGAGGCACGAAAGCGUGGGGAGCGAACAGGAUUAGAUACCCUUGUAGUC